GAUGAACGCUGGCGGCAGGCCUAACACAUGCAAGUCGAACGAUCUCUUUGAGAUAGUGGCGCACGGGUGAGUAACGCGUGGGAAUGUACCUUUUAGUUCGGAAUAGCCUCGGGAAACUGGGAUUAAUACCGGAUACGCCCUUCGGGGAAAGAGUUAUCGACUAAAAGAUACAGCCCGCGUGACAUUAGCUAGUUGGUAGGGUAAUGGCCUACCAAGGCAAACGAU
rnacentral:rRNA from 1 species